CAGUAAUUUGACUGUGCAAAGGUAGCAUAAUCAAUAGUUUUUUAAUUGAAAGCUUGUAUGAAGGGUUGGACGAAAUAAUAUCUGUCUUUAUUUAAUAUAUAUUAAAAUUUAAUUUUUAAGUUAAAAAGCUUAAAUAUUAAUAAAAGACGAGAAGACCCUAUAGAGCUUUAUAAAUUUUAAUUUAUAAAUAUUUUAGAUUUUUUAUUAUUAUAAUUUUUAAUUUAUUUUAUUGGGGUAAUAGAAAGAUUUAAUUAAUUCUUUUUUUUUUAUUUAUUUAUUUAUAUUUUUAAUGAUCCAUUAUUAAUGAUUAUAAGAUUAAGUUACCUUAGGGAUAACAGCGUAAUUUUUUUAGAGAGUUCAUAUUGAUAAAAAAGUUUGCGACCUCGAUGUUGGAUUAAAGAUUAGUUUAGGUGCAAAAGUUUAAAUUUUUGGUCUGUUCGACCAUUAAAUCUUUACAUGAUCUGAGUUCAGACCGGUUUAAGCCAGGUCGGUUUCUAUCUUUAUUAAAUUAAAAUAUUUUAGUACGAAAGGACCAAGUAUUAAUUAAAAUAAUUUUAUUUUUGAAUAAUAAU
rnacentral:rRNA from 1 species